CCCAAUUACAUAAACCCAAUUGACUAGUCUAAUAACAAAACAACUGACCAAAUUGACUUGACUAAGACAAAAGCAAAUGAUGCAAUAAAAGAAAAUGACUCGGACUCAAAUGGACCCAAUUCGGGUCUGACUCAAUCCGGGGGCUCAGGAUCAUCUGAAUGAAGGGUUCUGAUGUCCCCAUCACCCCCCAAUGGCCGUACAAUAACUGAGCUCGCCCCGCCAGUGGCCGAUAAUGACUUUACCGUAGCAUCAGAGAGUGUAAAUCACGACAUGCGUGGAUACGAUUUUACGUGGUAUUUUCAUAACAAUACUUGUUGAUACAAACACCGAUUUACCAGCCCAGUAUGAAUAUUUUAUUAUGAAAAGUUGUUAUUUGAUGCAUAUGUUGGCUUCUCAAACCCAA
rnacentral:lncRNA from 1 species